AGGGUUCGAUUCUGGCUCAGGAUGAACGCUGGCGGCGUGCUUAACACAUGCAAGUCGAACGGGAUCCAGGCAGCUUGCUGCCUGGUGAGAGUGGCGAACGGGUGAGUAAUGCGUGACCGACCUGCCCCAUACACCGGAAUAGCUCCUGGAAACGGGUGGUAAUGCCGGAUGCUCCGACUCCUCGCAUGGGGUGUCGGGAAAGAUUUCAUCGGUAUGGGAUGGGGUCGCGUCCUAUCAGGUAGUCGGCGGGGUAACGGCCCACCGAGCCUACGACGGGUAGCCGGCCUGAGAGGGCGACCGGCCACAUUGGGACUGAGAUACGGCCCAGACUCCUACGGGAGGCAGCAGUGGGGAAUAUUGCACAAUGGGCGCAAGCCUGAUGCAGCGACGCCGCGUGCGGGAUGACGGCCUUCGGGUUGUAAACCGCUUUUGAUCGGGAGCAAGCCUUCGGGUGAGUGUACCUUUCGAAUAAGCACCGGCUAACUACGUGCCAGCAGCCGCGGUAAUACGUAGGGUGCAAGCGUUAUCCGGAAUUAUUGGGCGUAAAGGGCUCGUAGGCGGUUCGUCGCGUCCGGUGUGAAAGUCCAUCGCUUAACGGUGGAUCUGCGCCGGGUACGGGCGGGCUGGAGUGCGGUAGGGGAGACUGGAAUUCCCGGUGUAACGGUGGAAUGUGUAGAUAUCGGGAAGAACACCAAUGGCGAAGGCAGGUCUCUGGGCCGUUACUGACGCUGAGGAGCGAAAGCGUGGGGAGCGAACAGGAUUAGAUACCCUGGUAGUCCACGCCGUAAACGGUGGAUGCUGGAUGUGGGGCCCGUUCCACGGGUUCCGUGUCGGAGCUAACGGCGUUAAGCAUCCCGCCUGGGGAGUACGGCCGCAAGGCUAAAACUCAAAGAAAUUGACGGGGGCCCGCACAAGCGGCGGAGCAUGCGGAUUAAUUCGAUGCAACGCGAAGAACCUUACCUGGGCUUGACAUGUUCCCGACAGCCGUAGAGAUACGGGUCUCCCUUCGGGGCGGGUUCACAGGUGGUGCAUGGUCGUCGUCAGCUCGUGUCGUGAGAUGUUGGGUUAAGUCCCGCAACGAGCGCAACCCUCGCCCUGUGUUGCCAGCACGUCAUGGUGGGAACUCACGGGGGACCGCCGGGGUCAACUCGGAGGAAGGUGGGGAUGACGUCAGAUCAUCAUGCCCCUUACGUCCAGGGCUUCACGCAUGCUACAAUGGCCGGUACAACGGGAUGCGACAUGGCGACAUGGAGCGGAUCCCUGAAAACCGGUCUCAGUUCGGAUUGGAGUCUGCAACCCGACUCCAUGAAGGCGGAGUCGCUAGUAAUCGCGGAUCAGCAACGCCGCGGUGAAUGCGUUCCCGGGCCUUGUACACACCGCCCGUCAAGUCAUGAAAGUGGGUAGCACCCGAAGCCGGUGGCCUAACCCCUUGUGGGAUGGAGCCGUCUAAGGUGAGACUCGUGAUUGGGACUAAGUCGUAACAAGGUAGCCGUACCGGAAGGUGCGGCUGGAUCACCU
rnacentral:rRNA from 1 species